GACGAACGCUGGCGGCGUGCCUAAUACAUGCAAGUUGAGCGCUGAAGGUUGGUACUUGUACCAACUGGAUGAGCAGCGAACGGGUGAGUAACGCGUGGGGAAUCUGCCUUUGAGCGGGGGACAACAUUUGGAAACGAAUGCUAAUACCGCAUAAAAACUUUAAACACAAGUUUUAAGUUUGAAAGAUGCAAUUGCAUCACUCAAAGAUGAUCCCGCGUUGUAUUAGCUAGUUGGUGAGGUAAAGGCUCACCAAGGCGAUGAUACAUAGCCGACCUGAGAGGGUGAUCGGCCACAUUGGGACUGAGACACGGCCCAAACUCCUACGGGAGGCAGCAGUAGGGAAUCUUCGGCAAUGGACGAAAGUCUGACCGAGCAACGCUGCGUGAGUGAAGAAGGGUUUCGGAUCGUAAAACUCUGUUGGUAGAGAAGAACGUUGGUGAGAGUGGAAAGCUCGUCAAGUGACGGUAACUACCCAGAAAGGGACGGCUAACUACGUG
rnacentral:rRNA from 1 species